GUCUUUUAAUUGAAGGCUGGAAUGAAUGGUUGGAUGAAAAAUAUACUUUCUUUAUUUUAUAAAAAGAACUUGAUUUUUUAGUUAAAAAGCUAAAAUUGUUUUAUAGGACGAGAAGACCCUAUAGAACUUUACUAUUUAUAAUAAAUAAUUUUUAUAUUUUAUUAAAAGAUUUUUUAUUAAAGAUAGUUGUGUUGGGGUGACAAAAAAAAUAUUAUAACUUUUUUUAUUUAUAUCAUUUAUAUAUGUGUUUUUGAUCCUUUUUUAUGGAUUAUAAGAUAAAGUUACCUUAGGGAUAACAGCGUUAUUUUUUUGGAGAGUUCAUAUCGAUAAAAAAGUUUGCGACCUCGAUGUUGGAUUAAAAUUAAUUAUAGGGGUAUAAUAUUAUAAAUUAGGUCUGUUCGACCUUUAAAUUUUUACA
rnacentral:rRNA from 1 species